GCGUUCGUGGUGCAACGGUUCAGCACUCGCUCGCGAAAAGAGUGAGAUCUGGGUUCAAAUCCCCGUUGACACA